rnacentral:lncRNA from 1 species
UUCUAUUCUGAGGUACUAAGGUUAAGACCUCAACAUAUGAAUUCUGGAGGACAAAAUUCAACCCAGAAGUCUACCUUGUAUUGGGUCCUCACGGCAAGGCUGCAAAACCCGGGGGGUUGGUGGCCCAGUCCCACCUCCCAUGAGCUAAUGAAUGUGGGGCUCAGGGAGGACUGACAGGACUAGAGUUGACAACCAUUCAUCCAACAAACAUUUACUGCACGAGGAAGAGAGGUGAUCAAGGCACUGCCCUUGUCCCCAGGAAGCUCGCCAGUGCAUGGGACUGUGCAGGUGUCUUCACCUCUGCAUUAGGCAUUCGAUGUCAG